UGGAAGCUUUGGUGUGCUGAAGGAAAAGGGGAUUUGCUGCUGUAACAGGAUCAGAUAUUGUAGCUUAGCUCAGUUGAGACUGAGUUUAUGAUCUAAGAAGCAGGUUUUCGAAUUACAUUGAGCUUAAUUGGUGACCUUUGGGACUGGUUUAGAAGGUGUUCUAACCUGAGCGAGAGCGCAACCGACCUUUGGGUCAUCUUUGGUGGACAUCAAAGAGCCUUUAGAGGCUAAACUUGAGGACACAUUUGAGUUGGUUUUAAGACGAGCAUUGGGAGCCUUUACCGGAAGUGAAGUGUCCAUCUGAGAAGCUGGAAUACCCGGAUCGCUUAGCUACGUGAACUCGACAAAAGGCGUCGUUUAUCGGUGGGUCGGACC